AACUAUUCUUUCGCCUCACUGCAAACUAUUCUUUCGCCUUUUACUAAAGAAUACUGUGCGCUUGCUGCAUAGAGUGGCAUACAUUUAUUUUUGGAGGGAAUUCCUAAUAAGGAGUUU